ACAAUUCCCAGUGUUCAGGAAUGCUAGACACUUCCUGACCUUUACGUCUGAUACAUUCUUUGAGAGAACUUCUCCACCGACCCCGUCACCUGGAUCGGAUCACCGACCUCUCCCAAGAGGGGCCUGGCUUCCUCCUCGCUGGGGAAACGGUAGGGAGCUCCCCUAGGUAAAGCCUCUAGGGAGAGUGGCCAGGAGCCGGGUCAGGAAAGGCUCUGGAGCCCAAAGGGCUGCCCGCAGAGGCUGAGGUCCCUGCAAGUGCACAGGGAGGAGAGGUGAGAUCAGAUUCCAGCCGAGUCAGGCUUCCAUGUCAGACUGCGUGUGUUUAUGCAGAGGUGCAACUCAGGAAUUACUGAGGAGAAAGUACAGGGCCAAUUUAACCUCCGCUGAGAGACCUCGAACCCUGCUCAUCACCACUCCUCGCUAAAAAGGGGCCUCUCCAGGGAAGAACCCAGAGGGAGAGCGGGAAUUCUCCUCCCCUCGGAGGAAGAGUGCUUCCUCUACCCUUAAUGUACCAACUGACAACAAUUCAAACAGAAGGAAACUAGGGUGUGACAAAUAAAGGAAGCCUUUUCAUGCUCUAUGUCCACUGGCGUCGGGCAAGCCCCGGUGGAAGUCCAAGGAAAAGAGUCUAAGACCCAAACAGAUGGUUUGCGCCAAAGUUCUAAAGUGUAUCAGACGUGAAUAAAGGUAUGUUAAUUCUAAAAGGAACUAAAAUAGAAACAUGAUGUGGUUUAGACUCAGGUAUUAAAAAAUGAGCCAUCUCAGAAGUGGAGACCAACUGAAAAUCUUCCUGUAUAACUUCUUCUAUAACUCUUCCAUGCCUCUAUGUUUGGUUGAUUUUCGCCAGUUUUCCCAGUCUCCAAUGAACCUGAUUCUAUAGGCAGUUACUCUGUGUUCUUAUUGAUGGGAUUCUAAGAAGUGAAGAACAGCAUAGGAACCAAUUUGCUGUGUAAAAUCAGAGAGAGCUCGACUCACUGUGGGUCGGAAACAAAGGGAGACUCUCCAUUGAAAACAGGCUCCCUGAAAGCAGACAUCAGCUAUAAACUGGUUAGGAAUUUAUUAUGAAUUUCCUUUGCAUUCUGAAGCAGAAGGCUUCAAAUUAGGCUCUAAGUCAGAACCCACAGUACCAUUCCCCACAGUAUGACAAGUUUAUAUGGGCAACACAUAUAUUUUAGAGUAAUUUGAUCGUCCCAGGCACUACCUGGAGUGCUUUACACAUGUAGCUGCUUAGUCGUGGCCCCUCAUGGCCUGGCCCUCUGGGUUGGAAUGAUGAGUUGCCAGAGGGUGAAGUCACUUUGGGAUCAUCACGAACACUGAGAGUCGAAAGACAAUGCCAGAGGGUGACGUCACUUCUGGUUCAUCACGAACACAUGGAGAGUCGGAAGACCACCCUGGGCUUGUCUUCACAUUUUCCGUGUUGUCACUUGCCGGUCCUUUGGAAGCCGACCCUAGAUGUACACUGUCUUGCCGGGACCUUUCUCUUCUCUUCCCCUGUGACCACGCAGGUCUUCGAUUCCCUGCCCCCUGCCCGAGGACCUGUCUCCUCCCUGCCGGAGGACCAAGCUUCAGAAGAACUGCACAUGGGAGGAAAUACCAACCGUUUAACUUCUUCAGAGACAACCUCUAACCCGGCUCACCACCACGCUAGCUAAAAAAGGGCCCUCUCCGAGGGAAGAUCCCGGAGGAAGAGUGGGAAUUCACCCUCCCCUUGGGGGAGGGGGGAGGAGUGCUUUCUCUACCCUUAAUUUAUGAACUGAGAAAAAUCCUAACAAGCCUACUAUGAAAUAAAGAUGCCCUUAACCCAUUUAUGCCUAGUGUUCCAUUAUUGGAACGCUAAGCUUGUGGGAGUUAUUCAUAUCCUACUGCUCAAAACCAUUGCCAAGGUCUGAUUUUUCACACAAAAAAAUUUGCAACCUUCGGUAUAAAUGGGUUAAUUCCAAAGCCUAAAGCAACCUAAGACAUCUCAGUCCACAGUGAGCCCAGCCUCCAGCUGCAGGUGUUGGCUUCCACACAGGACAGGACCAAGCAGUUUUGUGCUGAGUCCAUCUCUGUGGCCACCGGCCACCUGGUGCUGGGGCUGGUCCUCAGCUCAUCUGCACAGGGUUGGUGGAAGGGGCCAGAGGCAGCCUGGGCUCUGAAUUCCCAGACCUGGGGAAUAGGCCUGGUAGGGGAGCGAAUGCCAGGGCCGCUGGUGGCCUUGGCUCUUCUGCAUGGCAGCAACUGUGGUGGCCUGAGAAUAAGGAGUUACCAUAAGGACGUAGAGGUAGAUCACCGGAGGUGCAUCCACACCCAGAGAUAGACUCACACAUCUGUGGUGUGUUCAUUUCAACAAAGAGGCAGAGAAAAUUCCAUGGAGGAAAAACAAUAGCCUUUCAACAAAUGGUGUUAGAACAACUGGAUAUCUUACGCAAAAAAUUAACUUUUAUCUGUAUCUCAUAUUAUGUAAAAAUGGAACCAAAAUAGAUUAUAAACAUAAUGUAGAAUAUAAAAGUAGAAAUUAUAGUAAAAAUCAUAAGAAAAAAAUUUGUGCGACCUUAGUUAGGCAAAGAUAUUUUAAAUUUGACAGCAAAAGUACAAUCCAUAAAAGAAAAGAAAAUAAUGAUAAAUUGGACAUACUCAAAGUGAAGCACAUAUGCUAGUCAGAAGACACUACUGUUAAGAGAAUAAAAAAUAUAAGCCACAAAUCUGGAGAAAACAUUUGCAAACCAUAUAUCUGAAAAAAAUGGCUUGUACUUCACAUCUAAAAAGACUCAAAAGUCAAUAAUAGGAAAAAAGAGACAAUUUAAAAUGGGCAAAAUAGUUAAAAAGACAGAUCAGCCAAGAAGAUAUAUGGAUGAAAAUUAAACACAUUAAAUACAUCCGAUGUCAAUAACCCUGCUCCCUACCGGUUAGACAGCUGAUGUCAGAAAGGCCGACCCCAUCGCGCAUGCGCGAGCACAAGUGGGCAGGAACAGGAAAUCCCACGAGGACGCUGAAUCAAACCUGCCUACGUGAAGGGCUGAAGACGCGACAUUUCCUGACAGAGGUCGCUAUGUCUAGCAGCAUGAGCCUCUCCAUGAAGGCACGAGGGGAGAAGACCUCUUCUCUACCUUGUCCCAGGUCUUCCAGGAUGGGUGUCUCCUUUGAGAAGCAGGACUGCUUUUAUAAAAAUGAGGAAUCCGAGGAGCAGAGACCUGAAGUGACCUGUCCAGGACGCAAGAGUGAACCCAGGGACAAAGCCAACCCGCUCUGCUGGGGCCAGUGCCUUUCCACACUCCUCUGUUUCUAUAUUUAAACCGAGUGAAAGGAGACAUGGAAAAUACAUUAGCCCAUUUGGAGGUGAAUUUGAUACACUCUCAUUUGUCAUAGAGGGUAGAAAAAGAUGGAAAAGAGAAACGGGCUGGUGGGGAGAAGGGAAGAGCAGAGACCAGGGCCUCAGCCCAACCUCCAUCUGCUUCCCACUUUCUCUCCCUGUCCCUUUCCUGGAGGCCUUGCUUGCUCCUCACAAAGCUGUCAUUCUUAUGCCUUGCAUGGAUUUGGGUAUUUUAACUUGUCUAUUAAAAAUAUAAAUCUGGCCCCAUAUAUAUGCUUAAUUAAUAUUAUCAUGUAUCCCCUUCAAAAUACUCUGUGGCCAAAGUUUGUGCCCUUUUAUGCAGGAUCGGGAAUGGAUUCCCUAAUAAAUGUCUUGCAUUUUUCCCAUCACAAAA